GAGAGACCAACAGGGAUUGCCUCAGUAACGGCGAGUGAAGCGGCAAGAGCUCAAAUUUGAAAGCUGGCUCCUUCGGGGUCCGCAUUGUAAUUUGCAGAGGAUGCUUCGGGAGCGGCCCCCAUCUAAGUGCCCUGGAACGGGCCGUCAUAGAGGGUGAGAAUCCCGUCUGGGAUGGGGUGCCCGCGCCCGUGUGAAGCUCCUUCGACGAGUCGAGUUGUUUGGGAAUGCAGCUCUAAAUGGGUGGUAAAUUUCAUCUAAAGCUAAAUACUGGCCGGAGACCGAUAGCGCACAAGUAGAGUGAUCGAAAGAUGAAAAGCACUUUGAAAAGAGAGUUAAACAGCACGUGAAAUUGUUGAAAGGGAAGCGCUUGCGACCAGACUCGCCUGUAGGGUUCAGCCGGCAUUCGUGCCGGUGUACUUCCCUGCGGGCGGGCCAGCGUCGGUUUGGGCGGCCGGUCAAAGGCCCUCGGAAUGUAACGCCCCCCGGGGCGUCUUAUAGCCGAGGGUGCCAUGCGGCCAGCCCGGACCGAGGAACGCGCUUCGGCUCGGACGCUGGCAUAAUGGUCGUAAGCGACCCGUCUUGAAACACGGACCAAGGAGUCUAACAUCUACGCGAGUGUUCGGGUGUCAAACCCGUGCGCGCAGUGAAAGCAAACGGAGGUGGGAACCCCUCGGGGUGCACCAUCGACCGAUCCUGAUGUCUUCGGAUGGAUUUGAUUAAGAGCGUAGCUGUU
rnacentral:rRNA from 1 species